GCUGGCGGCACUAGCGCGGUGGUCCCACCUGACCCCAUGCCGAACUCAGAAGUGAAACGCCGUAGCGCCGAUGGUAGUGUGGGGUCUCCCCGCGAGAGUAAGGAACUGCCGGCA
rnacentral:rRNA from 1 species